rnacentral:rRNA from 1 species
UGGGGGAAUUUUUGGACAAUGGGGGAAACCCUGAUCCAGCCAUCCCGCGUGUGCGAUGAAGGCCUUCGGGUUGUAAAGCACUUUUGGCAGGAAAGAAACGUCGCGGGUUAAUACCCCGCGAAACUGACGGUACCUGCAGAAUAAGUACCGGCUAACUACGUGCCAGCAGCCGCGGUAAUACGUAGGGUGCAAGCGUUAAUCGGAAUUACUGGGCGUAAAGCGUGCGCAGGCGGUUCGGAAAGAAAGAUGUGAAAUCCCAGAGCUUAACUUUGGAACUGCAUUUUUAACUACCGGGCUAGAGUGUGUCAGAGGGAGGUGGAAUUUCCGCGUGUAGCAGUGAAAUGCGUAGAUAUGCGGAGGAACACCGAUGGCGAAGGCAGCCUCCUGGGAUAACACUGACGCUCAUGCACGAAAGCGUGGGGAGCAAACAGGAUUAGAUACCCUGGUAGUCCACGCCCUAAAACGAUGUCAACUAGCUGUUGGGGCCCUUCGGGCCUUGGUAGCGCAGCUAACGCGUGAAGUUGACCGCCUGGGGAGUACGGUCGCAAGAUUAAAACUCAAAGGAAUUGAC